rnacentral:lncRNA from 1 species
UAAUUUUCCAACUCUUCUCAUCAACCAACUAGCAUUUGCAAAUACUUUCUUUGUCCACACAAACAAAACAACCUUCCAUUUUACAAAGUAAAAGAGAAAGAUGAGUGUAGAAAUUUUAGAUGGUGCCACCAUUGUCCAGUUACUUGAAGAUGAAGAAGCAUUUAAUGACACUGUAGGUAACCGAUUCGCUCGCCUUGACACAGACAAUGAUCUCUUAUGACGAGAUGUUAAAGGAGCUCCAGGGUCUAAGAGUUUUCGAAACACACCUUCGGUAUUGAUGUGGAGUCUGAUCCAGAUGAGGCUUGCCCGUGUUUAUGCAUCGUUGUUCAUACAAUUCGACCACAAUUUAAAUGGCACGUUGAUCUGGAAGAAUUCAAGACAGAAACAAAGCAGAUGAUGCUUGCAAUGGCAGAUGGAAUGGGUUUCAUGCCAAUUCAAAUGGUUUUGGAAGAAGACAGCAUCCUUAAGAAAGCAGUUGAAAGAGAGUACAAUAAAGUCGCAGCUUAAUUGCUGCUAUGAUAUCAUACCUAAGAUUUAACAAAUUCUGCAAGUAUUGUAGUAUUGUAUAACAUUCUGUUUGUUGUUCUUAUUGUUACCUUUGAAACUUGUUAACACUGUUUUGUUAUGGAUUCCAAAUGUAUUCAAGAAAUAAACUACUUUAAUCUGAGUAUUUAAUAAGUAUGUUUGAAGUUAUGAAGAAUUCGACAUAGAGCGCAAACAAUAGAUUCCAGUUCCUCAAUUUCCAACAAGUACUACCACUCAACAUCUAAAGCAUCUAACAAAAGUAAAUCAUACAUUUUAUACCAAGUGAUAUUAGCUUGUUCUCGAAAUCAAAGGUUACCUACAUGUUUUCCAUGGUUUAUCCUAAGUUACAAGAAUGUAUAGCUCUCACCAGUCUGAAUGAAUGAAAGGAUGUUUUCACCAAACAACUCAACCAAAGUGACGUCAGUCUCUUUUAAAGUGAAAUCUAAAUUUACAUUUAAGAUAGAUUUAAUUUGGUGUACAUUUAAAUUUCAUUUGGCUUGAAUGUGUAAAUAUAAGCAAAACUGACUUUUUAGUUUAAACAGAAUUUUAAUGUAAUCAUUUUCAGUAAAAAAAGUUAGUUACAAUUUUUCUCCCUUCUCUCAUCUUCAUCAUCUUCAUCUUUUUCUUUCUUAUACACUAACCAUUGAUAUCUAGAAUUUCGAUUGGGAUCUUUGGAAAACACUAAGGGAAACACGAGUGAACGUGAGGCGUGUGUGAUUGAUUUCGAUUCUGAAAUUCAUAGUGAAUUAAAGUUCGAAAUCGUAACAUAAUCACAUUUCUUGAUUAUGAGAAAUAGGAAAACACGAGUGUUUGGUGAGAUUUAAGUGAAGUCUUGUACAAGAUCGAAGAUGAACGUUGGAAACGGUAGCUUGAAUACGAAGCUUUCAGUCUUUGAUGGAAAGUAUUGGAAUCAAUGGAUAAUUUAGAUGCGUGUGUUGUUUGGCACUCAAGAUGUUUUUGAUCUCAUCAAUGACGAUUAUGCAUCGGUUGCAGCAGAUGCAACUGAAAGACAAAGGAACACAUAUAAAGAGAUAAGGAAGAAGGAUCAUAAAGCUCUGUUCUACAUACUACAAAUAACACAUGUCAUGUCAUAUGCGAAAUGAUUUCACUUUGGUUACAAUGACGAGUUAACGAAUGGUGACAUGAAAAGUGGGAACUUGACCCCUCGGUUUAAAAACAUAUGAGGGGUUAGUUUAAAUAGUCAUAUGUUCAAACCCCAGCAAUAACUUUUUUAUAUUUUCCAAACUAGCAUCAUAUACCUCUCAAUUUAAUAACAAAAUCGAGGGGAAAGAUAUAUAUAUAUAUAUAUAUAUAUAUAUAUAUAUAUAUAUAUAUAUAUAUANNNNNNNNNNNNNNNNNNNNNNNNNNNNNNNNNNNNNNNNNNNNNNNNNNNNNNNNNNNNNNNNNNNNNNNNNNNNNNNNNNNNNNNNNNNNNNNNNNNNNNNNNNNNNNNNNNNNNNNNNNNNNNNNNNNNNNNNNNNNNNNNNNNNNNNNNNNNNNNNNNNNNNNNNNNNNNNNNNNNNNNNNNNNNNNNNNNNNNNNNNNNNNNNNNNNNNNNNNNNNNNNNNNNNNNNNNNNNNNNNNNNNNNNNNNNNNNNNNNNNNNNNNNNNNNNNNNNNNNNNNNNNNNNNNNNNNNNNNNNNNNNNNNNNNNNNNNNNNNNNNNNNNNNNNNNNNNNNNNNNNNNNNNNNNNNNNNNNNNNNNNNNNNNNNNNNNNNNNNNNNNNNNNNNNNNNNNNNNNNNNNNNNNNNNNNNNNNNNNNNNNNNNNNNNNNNNNNNNNNNNNNNNNNNNNNNNNNNNNNNNNNNNNNNNNNNNNNNNNNNNNNNNNNNNNNNNNNNNNNNNNNNNNNNNNNNNNNNNNNNNNNNNNNNNNNNNNNNNNNNNNNNNNNNNNNNNNNNNNNNNNNNNNNNNNNNNNNNNNNNNNNNNNNNNNNNNNNNNNNNNNNNNNNNNNNNNNNNNNNNNNNNNNNNNNNNNNNNNNNNNNNNNNNNNNNNNNNNNNNNNNNNNNNNNNNNNNNNNNNNNNNNNNNNNNNNNNNNNNNNNNNNNNNNNNNNNNNNNNNNNNNNNNNNNNNNNNNNNNNNNNNAUAUAUAUAUAUAUAUAUAUAUAUAUAUAUAUAUAUAUAUAUAUAUAUAUAUAUAUAUAUAUAUAUAUAUAUAUAUAUAUAUAUAUGAAGGAAUGAAUAAAAUGUCUGCAUUACGAGUCAAACAACUCUUGAUUCACAAGAUGAACCGGUGUUACAACGUCUCAAAGGGGUAAAAGCGGGGCCCAAGAGAAAGUAUUGUUGUGUACAAGGAAACAGUAUAUCACUAGAUGGAGAACAGGCAAUUCGAGAUCAAAUAAGAAUAGUAUAUUGGAUCUGAUCUUUUUGAAGAAGCUUGAAAAUUGGCGCACAUGUGGCAGUCAUAUGCGAUAUAAAUCUUGAGAUAUAGUUCAAGCGGCCGAGAAAAUCUCUAACUUGCUUGCAAUGUACAUUGUUAUUUUUUGAACUUUGAUUUAAGUGUGCAAAUAUCAAUUGUUUUGGCUAUAAAUAGAGACCCUUGCCUUCAGAAAUGAGGACCCAGUCCGCCAGCUUUGAAUCCCAAUCUCCAAAACUCUCUCAUUCAAAGGAUAACCUUGAGAAUUUCCAAUGAAAAUUGAGUUUGAAUCUCCACUGAUAUAUACACGGAUUGAUAUAUAUAUAUAUAUAUAUAUAUAUAUAUAUAUAUAUACUCAGUACAUUGUUUAUACAAAAUAUUAAAGUAAAGAUGUUGUUCUCCAUCGUCAUCGUCAUCGAUGUCGAUGGAGAAUAAAUAUUGGAUAUCUUAGAGAAGAGCAAAUGUUGGGGAUCCUCAUUUCAUUGAUCUUGAGAAAGAUCAAAUGUUGAAUGUAAUAUAUUCUCUAUGACUUUUGCAUUCAUUUUUUUCUGAUAUAAAUAAAAAAAAGUUAGAUAAAUAAAAUAAAUAUUUAGUUAUAUGAUUUUUUAAGAACACAAACAUUGAACCCAAAUAAUUUAUGCACUUGCAAACUAAAUACAGUACUCUCAUCAACCACGUAUUAAAAACCUAAAUUUCUCUGAUCUUGCAAUCUAUCACAUUGAUACAACCCUCAAAUUAAACAUAGAGAGUUUCAAAAUGUUUGAGUUUCUUAUGGAUUUACUAAUAUUCAUAAUGUUUUUAUAAUGAGGUUUUUAGAUUUCACGAGGAUCACUAAUACAAUGUCUUGAGCGUUGAUACUCAUUAAAUGGACAACAAAUAUUUGUUUAAGGAAGUUGAGGAAACACACUUAUGAUUUACCUCAAUAAAAUAUUUUACCUCGGUUAUUACUAAAACCCAAGGUAAAAUCUGUUUCUUUUUAGAUAAAAAUAAAAUAAAAUAUAUUUCAACCCAAAGUUCACAUACCUUUCGGUUUCUAAUAAAAACUGAGGGGAUUUUUUUUUUAUAUUUACAUUGCUUACACAAAAUAAUAAAAUAAAUUGUUUAAACAAAUCAAGAGUAUGACAAUGAAUUCUUGGAGAACAACAUAUAUUUUCAAAUUUCUGAUAAGUUAUUUGUUCCAACUAAGAGAAUUCUUUUUUCUAUACUUGCAAUUCAUCCCAAAGAGAUUUCAUUAUCUUGAGAAAAUGUUUUUCAUGGCAAAUGCUAUCACAUGACAGAGAACAUGAAAGAGAACGUGAAAGAGAUAUGGAUGAUUGUUUUUCGGAAUAAAUUUCUCAAUAUUGUCAACCGAGGAAAGAAAUAAAUUUCUCAAUAUUUUCUUUGAUUGAUAACAUAUGAAGUUUAUUACAAAACAACAACAACAUCAACAUCAUUAUGUGAGAUAGAUUGCACGGGCCGAAAAAAUAUUUUGUUCAAUAUUGAAGAAUAUUGAACAUUUUUUUCUAUCCUGCAAUCUAUCCAAGAGAAUGAUGCGUAAGACUUUAGAGCGGCUACAUAUAAGUUAGGUUUAUGGUAAAAAUCUUAUUAACGAGUGCUUUUAUAGUAAAAUAUGAUAAUCUAAUCCCUCGGUUAUUAAAUAUAACCGAAGGAAUAGAUCAUUAAUUUAAAAAUUAAAAAUUAAAUAAAAAUAAAAACACCACUUUUAAAGAAAUAUAAAUAUAAACUACUGAUGUUAGGAUUCAAAGCAUGUCCUGAAAUAUUUUCCCCUCGGUUUUAUUUAGAAACUGAGAGAAUAUGUGGUAUUUAAUUAAAAAGUAAUAUAAAACAUGACGCGUCUUGACCUUUUACCUCGUUUUUUGGUAGGGUGAGGUGAAAUUUUUGUCAUGACAUAUAUUAUUUGUAGUGGUGAUAUCCAUCAGUGCGUGGAUGUGAAUGUGUUUGAGAAGAUCGUUGAUUCGAUGAAGAAGAAGGUUGCAUGGGACACACUGGUAUGAUGCUAAGACGGUGAUGCAUCCAUGAAGAAGGUGAAAAUCCAGUCUCUACAUAAGAAGUAUGAGAAUCUCAACAUGAAGAACAACAAGAAGGUACCUGAUUACAUCUCUAGAGUGAUUCUGAUCACAAAUGAGAUGAAAUCUUGUGGAGAGACUCUUUCUGAACAAGUAAUCAUUGAAAAUUUACUGACAUCACUUACUCCUAAGUUUGAUUAUAUUGUUAUGGCAAUUGACCAUUCUAAGAAUAUGAGCACCAUGAGAAUUAAAAAAUUGCAAAGCAUUUUAGAGGCAUAAGAGUUGCGUCUGACUAAGAAAACCUCUGAAAGAAAGGUAGAGCAGGAUCUGAAGGAAUCUUCUAGAAAUAAAAUCAGAAUAAGAAAAUAUAUCCAGAGGAGAGUCUGAUGAUGAACCUGUUCUAUUGACGAAUUAUGAAUAUGAUUGUGGAUAUUUGGUAGACUGGUGUUAUACGGACACUGACUGCUCAAAUCACCUAACUGGAAACAAACAAUGGCUUAUUAAUUUUGAAUCUAGGAAGAAGACAAAAAUCAGAUGUGUUGAUGAUAAGUAUUUGAAUGUUGAAGGAAUGGAAAAUGUCAAGGUUAGAGUGAGGAAUGGAAAAUCUAUUAUGAUCAAGGAUGUUUGGUAUGUUCCUGUCAUGAAGAGCAAUCUGAUGAGUGUAGGUCAACUAAUUGAGAAAGGUUUCUCAGUUACUAUGAAGGACGAUAUCUUGAAGUUGUAUGAUUCUGAUCAGAAGUUGAUUAUGCAGUCUGAACAGGGAAGCAAUAUAACAUUUAAUGUGAAUGUGUAAACAGAUGACACUAAAUGCCUUAGUGUAGAAGGUGACAAUGAGUUAUGGCAUAAAUAUUUGGGGCAUCUGAAUUUCAGAAGCUUAGGGCAUCUGAGUUAUAAGAAGUUGGUACAUGGCAUUCCUAAUGAUGUGAAGCCUGAGAAGUCAUGUGAGAUAUGCAUGAAAGGAAAGCAACCAAGAUUUCCAUUUUCAUCAGAAGUAUCCCUAAGAGCAAAACAUGCUUUAGGAGUAGUUUAUUAUGUUAUAUGCAGACCAUUUCUAGUACCUUCACUUGGAGGGAACACGUAUUUUUUGUCAUUUAUGGAUGAGUUCAUAAGAAUGACAUGGGUAUCCCUCAUAAAGUUCAAACACGAGGUGUUUGCUAAGUUUCAGAAGUUCAAGGUAAAGGUUGAAAAACAGAAUUGUCAGAAGCUAAAAAUUCUCAAAAUUGAUGGUGGAGGUGAGUAAAACUCUACAAAGUUCAAGAAUUUCUGUGAGGAGAAUGGAAUUGAGCAUGAGGUUACUUCUCCAUACACUCUUCAACACAAUGGUCUUGUUGAAAAAAGAAAUAAAACUUUGCUUGAUAUGACAAGGAGCAUGCUAGAGGAGAAUAAGCUCCCUCACACCUUGUGGGGAGAAGCUGUUGCCACUGCAUCAUAUGUGCUCAACAGAUGUCCAACCAGAAGCUAAAGGAAAUUAUUACUCUUAAGAAGUGGAGUGAAGAUAAGAAAAAUGUGAGCCAUCUGAAGGUGUUUGGUUUUGUUUGUUAUAAACAUGUUCCAUAUAAUAAGAGAAGGAAGUUGGACGACAGAAGCAGAGUCGUGUUGCUUGUAGGGUACCAAAGUACAGGUGCUUAUGAGAUCUAUUGUCCUGUCACUAACAAAGUUGAAUUUAGCAAAGAUGCGAUUGUGAAAGAAUCAUAAGCAUGGGAUUGGAACACGUCUCAAUCCAACUCUGGUGCAGUGUUAACACAUGCGUUAACUUCUGAAAAUAUCUCAGACUCUGAAGAAGAAUCUUCCUCUAAAGAAGAUUCUGAGUCUAAAGAUGACUUAGAGUCUGAAUGUGACUCUGAUGCUGAAGGUGAGUCUGAAGGCGAAUCUGACUAUGAAGGUCAAUCUGAUUCAGAUCUAGAUUCUGAUGAUGAUCAAGACUCUAGUGGUAAUCAUGCCUCCAAAGGUGAUACAACCUCUGAAGGUAGUCCAUCAUCUGAUAUUGUUCCAGCAUCUAAAGAUAUUUUGAACAAGUUCAUAGACCACAAAGAAUCAUACAAAUGCCAAGAAGAUUUGCAGAGUUUGAUAUGUUGCAAGAUACUGAGAUACACUCUGAAUCGGAAGUCAUUAAGUGUCCCAUGUUGCCAGACUUUGAACCAGUUAGUACUAAAUAAGCUCUCAAGAAGAAAGUGUUGUUGAAGGCCAUGAAAGAAGAACUUAAGGCUAUAUAAAGAAACAAAACUUGGGAGUUAUCUGAGCCUCCAAAGGACAAGAAGUCCAUCAGUGUUAGAUGGGUUUACAAGGUGAAACUAAAGAUAGAUGGAUCAAUUAGAAAACACAAAGCCAGGUUAGUAGCUAGAGAAUUUAUACAGAAAUCUGGAUUAGACUACUUUGAAGUGUUUGCACCGGUAGCUAGACAUGAAACAAUCAGACUGGUCAUUGUUAUAGUUGCUAAUAGAAAUUGGCCUCUGAUAUAUUUAGAUGUGAAAUCUGCAUUUCUAAAUGGUCUUUUACAAGAGGAAGUUUAUGUAUCACAACCUCAUGGAUUUGUGAAAAAGAAUCAGGAAGGGAUGAUGUACAAGUUACAUAAAGCCUUGUAUGGGCUGAAACAGGCUCAUAGAGCCUGGAAUCUAAAAAUUUAUUCAUUUUUCAAGCUUUAAGGAUUCAGGAAAGGUGAGAUGGAGUAUGGUAUUUAUGUUCAGCAUACAUCUGAUAUCAAUAUGAUUCUGGUGUGUCUCUAUGUUGAUGAUAUAUUGCUAAUAGGGAGUUGUUCAUAUGAGAUAGCUAAGUUCAAAAAGGUGUUGAUGAAUGAGUUUGAGAUGACUGAUCUAUGAAAUAUGACAUAUUUUCUAGAGAUGGAGAUUAUGUACUCAGAUAAGGGUAUAAUCUUACAUCAUUUGAAGUAUGAACUUGAGCUUAUGAAGAUAUUUGAGCUAACAAACUACAAGUCUGCAAUCACAUCUGCUGAAACAAAUCACAAGCUUGAUUUUGAUGUUGAGGGUGAUGAUGUAGAUGCUACCACUUUUAAACAGUUUGUGGGCUCAUUGAGAUAUCUCUGUAAUACCAUACUUGAUAUCUACAGUUGGAAUGAUGAGUGUGUUUAUGAACAAAUCAAAGUGAUCACAUCAUCAAGUUGCUGUCAGGAUACUGAGGUAUAUUAAGGGGACUCUUAAGUAUGACUUUUGUUCCCUUCUGGUGUUGAAUCUGAUUAAGAUCUGAUGUGUUAUUUAGACUCCGAUUGGUGUGGAGACAUAGUUGACAGAAGAAGUUAUGGAUAUUUCUUUAAGUGUGUGGAAGGUCUUAAUUUUUGGUGCUCCAAGAAGCAACCAGUGGUUGUUUUGUCAACCUGUGAAAUUGAGUACAUUACAGGUGUUUUGACUGCUUGUCAAACUGUGUGGAUUCUAAACUUGUUGCAUGAUUUGAAGAUCAAGGUGAGCAAGCCUAUGAAAUUGAUGGUUGAUAAAAAAAUCAGUUAUAAGCAUUGUCAAGAAUCCAAUAUUGCAUGGAAGAAGCAAUCACAUUGACACAGAGAUAAUUUUUUGAGAAAUCAGGUUCAGAAUGUGGUGGUUGAAAUUGUUUAUUGUAGCACUCAGAAACAGCUGACAGAUGCUUUAACCAAAGUUAUCAAGACAAAACAUUUUAUUCAAUUGAAGGAUAAAAUUAAUGUUGUUAAUAUUAGUCUUAGAAUGUGAUUUUACUUUAAGACUUGAUAUAACUACUUUAAUUACUUUUAUGACCAUAAUGAAAUUAAAUAAUAUAACUCUUUCAUCAUAUGCUUCACUACAUUACUUGGUUAGUUUCCACCAUAUAUUUGUGUACUUACUACCGAUAUGGAACAAUUUAUAAACAAUCAUGAACCAACGGUUGAAGGAAGCAUAAACAAGUACAUUCAUAAACAAUCAAGAGACAUAAGACACAAAAACAACACGUAGUUUCUAUACCAUGUUAGUGAUUAAAGAAUAUAUGCUUUUAAAAUUUAUUACCAUUUACCAAUAAAUAAAUAAAUAUAUAUAUAUACUUAUAUAUAUAUAUAUAUAUAUCCAGCUCUUCUCAUCGACUAACCAACUAGCAUUUAGAAAAACAUUACUUUCUUUAUCCACACAAACUAAACUACCUUCUAUUUUUUAUCAAGUAAAAGAGAAAGAUGAGUGUAAAAAUUUUGGAUGGUGACACCAUUGUCCACCUUCUUGAAGCUGAAGAAGCAUUUAAUAACUCAAUAGUUAACCAAUUUGUUAGAUUCUUCGUGUAUGACAAAAAACAAUGUUCAUCGAUGAUAACUUCGUCGAUUUCUGUUGAUUAAAUAUGCAAAAUAAAAGCCACAAAGUUACAUACCUUAUUAAGAGAUCGUUGAGUAAUGACUCCUUUAAAGAUAUCUCUAAUAACAUUCUAGAUAGGAUGGUCUCUUAUUCACCUCCAUUCUUUCGGAAGAACUGAAUGUUCGGGUGGAGUAUCUGGAAUUUGAUCUUGAGCCGACUCUUCUUCUUGAAUUUCACUUUGGCCUUGGUCCGGUUCUUAAUCAUUUUCCUACAGAUUUUUCUUUUCCAAGAUACAUGCACAAUCGACAACUUCUACUUCUAAUAGUUUAGUGUUAGAUUCAUCAAAGGUAACAUGAAUUGAUUCUUCGCUUGUCAGAGUUCUUUUGUUAAAUACUUUAAAAGUUUUGCUAGAAGUGGAAUAUCUUAUUAAUAAUGUCUUUAUCAUCUUUAGCGUCAAAAUUUAUGAGGUUAUCUUUUUUGUUGUUAAGGAUAAAGCAUUUGCAACCAAAAACAUGUAAGUGAGAGAUGAUCAGAUUUCUUCCUUUGUAUAAUUCAUAAUGAUUUCUCUUUAGAAUUUCUCUUAUCAAUACAUGAUUCAUAACAUAGCAAGCGGUGCUUACUGCAUUGGCCCAUACAUAUUUAGAAAGAUUGGUCUCAUUGAGCAUCACUCUUGCAAGUUCAUCUAGAGACUUAUUUUCCCUCUACACUACCCCAUUUACUGGGGAGUUCGUGGAGUAGAAAAGGUAUUAUGAAUACCAUUCUCAUUACAUAAUUUUUUGAAUUACCCAUUUUAGAAUUCUCCACCUUGGUCACUUCUGAUGGAUGCAAUGCUUACAGAAAAAAGGUUCAUGUGAAGCAGUUGCAAGGGUCGAUUAGUAGAAACUAUAUUUUUAGAUUUGAAAAGGCCCUUACUUAUUUCCCUUUUUGGCAUGCAUCGCAUAAUCUAUUAUUUUAAAAAUAUAAGUCAGGUAGACCUUCUACGAGAUCUUUGCGGACCAACUUGUUCAAGUGAUCUCUACGGAUGUGAGUUAUUCUCAUAUGCCAUAGCCAAGUUUCAUCCUCGUUAUUUAGGAGACAUACAUCACCUGAAGGAAUCUUAUUUAAAUUUAUUGUUUAGGUAUUUCCAUUUCUUGAGCUUGUAAAUAGAGUUUCAUUUGAUUUAGAUUUUAUGACCCUGCAACCAGAAGAGUCAAAUGUUGCAUUGUUACAUUUGUCACAUAAUUGGCUUAUGCUAAGUAAGUUAUGCUUAACCCAUUUCCCAAGAGAACUUUCUCAAUCGCUGGAUUAGGGGACGUACCAAUGGUGUCAACCCUUUGAAUUUUCACCUUAUUAUCAUCUCCAUAAGAGAGAAAUCCUCCUUAUUUAGGAAAGAAGGUGGUGAAUAAGGUUUUGUCACCUGUCAUAUGCUUUGAACAAUUGCUAUCAAGAUAUCAUUUUGUGUUUGAGACUGUAAAGCAUUCCUACAAAGAAAAUGUUAGGUCUUAACUUUAAGAAUCCAUAUCAUCUUGGAUCCUUGGUUGUUAGUUUCAUAAAACAUUUUUAUUUCUAUAGAUAUAGGAAUUUUUAUGUUUGGACAAAAUAAUUUAUUUGUGUUCAUAGUGAUUUUUGUAAAAAUCUGAAUGAGGGUGUCCUUCUUUACUUUCAUGACUUUUCUUAAUGAAAUAGAACAUAGUAAUGUGUUAUUCUUUAUUACGGUAGUUGCAUUUUAAGAUUUUACAAUGGCAUAUGGUUUUGGUCUUUCAUAUGUUUGCAAAGUUUUUACUAUUAUUAUUUGUUUCAUAGCCUAGGCCGGAUUUGUUGUAUGAGGUUCUUUGAUUUCAUAACAUAACAUUUAAGUUAUCUCUUCCUUUGAUAAACUCGACAAGUGUUUUUUGAAGAUCACAAAUUUCAUUUUUUUAAAUUGUCACACUUGUCAGGUUCAUCAUCUUCAUUUGAAGUGGAAGAAAUUUGAACUUAAUCAUUUUGUUUUAAACUAAGGAUUCCUAUCUCCUUUUCAACGGUUUUAUUUCUAAGCUCAAGAGAAGAGAUAAUAUCCUUAGAUGAAAAAAUAAUUUGUUCUAGUUUAUUUGUUUCUUUUGUUAGUUUCUUACAUAUUCUAAAGAAAUCAUGACAAGAGAAGUGAGGGGUUACCCCAUCAUCUUGAUGAUUUUCCAUAAGACAGAUGUUGGUUUUUUCUUCUUCUUUGUCGUUUGGGGAUUCCAUAUCAUUAUCCUCCCAUGUGACAUAAGCUUUCUUCUUUUUCUGAGAUUUUUUAAAUUUUUUAUUUACUUUCUUGAACAUGGGACAAUAUGGUUUGAUUUUUCCUUUCUUUCCAUAGUUGUAGCAUGUUGGAACAAAUGAUGCUCUUUCUUCAUUUUUUUCUUGCUCUUCCGUUUUCUUCUUCUCAUUCUUCAUGAAUCUCUUAAAGUUCUUCACUAUAAGAGACAUGUCACCAUCAUAAUCAUAUUCUUCAGCUUUGAAUGCUAUACUUUUAUUUAUUUUUAUGUUUCUUCAUCUAGGGUGAGCCUUUUGAGUUUUAUUUCAUGUUCCUCGAAUUUUCCAAAAAGAAUGUGUGUGUGUGUGUUUGUGUACAUAUUCGUUAAAUCCUUAAAUUCACAAAUGGGAGUGACUUUGUAUUUUCAACUAAGGUAUAAGCAUCUAAUAAUUUUUAUGAAUAAUCCCUCAUUUGAGAAUGUUUUUCUCAAAGUUCUCAUAUGAUUCACGAUAUGGGUAAAUCGUGUUUGUAUUUGACUUGUGCUCUCUUCAGAUUUCAUUAUGAAUAGUUCAUACUCAUGUCUUAAUGUGUCAAACAUUGUCAUCUUUACCUUAGUAGUUCCUUCAUGUGUGAUUUGGAGGAUGCCCCAUAUUUCUUUAGCAAUUUUGUCGUAAGAACGUAAAGAUUCAUCAAGACCGAGAGCGAUAGUGAUGAUAGUUUUUUUCUUUCAAACCGUGAUGCACAUUCUCUUUAUCAACCUUGGUCUAAUCCUUUUUCAGUUUUGUCUAAUACAACACUAUAAAAAUUACGUGUAGGAACAAAUUAACCUUCUUUCAUAGCCUUCCAAAUACCAUGAUCCAUCCCUUUUAUGAAAAUUUUCAUUCUUUCUUUGCAUAAACUAUACCCUUAUCCAUUGAAGGAUAUGGUUUGUUUAGGGAAUAACUUAAAGACAUGUUUCCUCCUGAGAUGAUUAUUCCUAAAUAGGAGUUAGGUUAUAAUUCCACUUGUUGGACAAGUAACUUCAAGCACAAGAGGGGGGUGAAAUGGUAUUCAAAACUUGCGAUUAUUGUAGUGGUUUUCUUAGUUACACUUAAAAUUUCAUUAGUAAUUUCUGAAAUAGUAAGCAACAACGGAAACAGUCAAAAUAAAUAGCAGAAAUUAAAGAGGAUAUGGUUAGAGAAAUUGCACUAGAGAGUUAUACAAGUUUGGCAGAACGUUGGCCUAGUCUUGUCCCCAAGAGAUCUUAUUGAGAGUUUGACUAUAAACUUUGAGCUUUUGAUGGUUAUACUCACAAACCUUUAUACAAUCCGAUCUUGAGAUUUUUAAAGAUUUAUCCCCAACCAAAUAUAGCUUUGACCACAGACUAAGCUAACAUACCUUCUUAGAGAUUUUCAAGCCGAUCUCAAUAAUCAAAACAUAACUUUUUUUGGCAAAGUUCUAGAAAUCAAGAACAUAGAUUUUAUGGAUGAUUUAUCUCAUGAACCAAACUCAAUCUAAGAGUAUCACACUCUUAAGGUUUAAACAAACAUCACGGCCACUUACAAAUUUUUCCUGACAAGGAAAGUUUCACUUGAAAGCAUUAUGGAAAUAUAAGUGAAAAGAAAUAUUUCUUAAAAAGUGAAGGAGAGAAAAUAGAGAAAUAAAUUCCAAAGAAAAUGUAAAGCUUUGGAAAGUGGCAUAAAAUGAAUAGGAGGUGAGCCUUCUUUAUAUAGGAGUUUGAAAAAUCAGAAAAGGAAAUAAUGCAUGAGCAUAAUUGAUGAUCCAAUUGAUUGGUAUAAUGUUCCAAUCAAUUGGAUUAAUCAUUUUUAAUUAAUUAUCUUGCCAACAUGGAAAUAUUUGACAGAGAGCCUUUAUGAGUCAUUAAUGUGUUGUCUUAAUCAUUUGGUUAAUCAUUUAGGCUCUUUCUAAUUAAUUGGCUUAAUGCUUCAAUUGAUUGGCAGACUCAAAAAAGUUUUCUCAAUCGAUUGGUUUGAGUCCCCAAUUGAUUGGUUAGUUAAACUAUACUUUUAAACGAUAGUGGAUAGCUUCUUAAUCACUUGACUUGGUUUUGAAAAUAUUUUAAAGAUGUAAAACGAUUUGAAAAAUUAUUUUAAGUGUGUGUGAGUUUCUUUAUAACUUAAGAGCUACUUUCUUACUUUUCCAAAUUUUGGCCACUCAGACAGAUACGACUUGGCAAGCUUUCACACCUUAUAUAAGGCUUAAAGAUUUUUUGUUGGAUGAAUCGAUUAUAUAAGCACUUCAAUCUUAAGUCUCUUUUCUUUAUAAGGUUUUGAGAUGUUUCGCUAGUUAGUUCACCAUCAUUAGAAUGCUGAGAGCUAUUACCACCGACUUCAAUAUCACAAUUGUUUACAUUGUCGUCAUCAAAACUCCAGAGAGUAUAUUUUGCAUAGUCCCUAACUUUAUACCUGCAAGCACAUAAGUCUACAGUAAUACCAAUCAAUCAUUCAUAAUCUUUUUGCAUAGUCUCAUACACUACACCGAAUAUAUUAUUCACGAAUACGGUGAACUGUAUUUUAUUAUAAAAAUAAAAUAAUUUUUUAUUUAAAUAAUAUAAAAAUUAUAUAUAUAUAUAUAUAUAUAUAUAUGGGUAUUGAUGUAAAAUUGUAUGAUUAACCAACUUUAUAAUUUUAUUAACCAACAUUUUAUAUAUCAUUAAUCAACUUUAUUUUAUUAUGAAAAAAUAUUUUUAAUAUCUGAGCGUUUAUUAACCAACUUCAUCAUUUAAUUAACCAACUUUUACUUUUCAUUAAUCAACUUUAUUUUACUACUAAAAAUUACGUAUAAUAUAUGAGUGUUUAUUAACCAACUUCAUCACUUCAUUAAUCAAUUUUUUACAUUUCACUAAACAACUUUGUUUUACUAUAAAAUGUCAUUGUUCAUGCAUCACGCACAUUAUUCACCUAACACUUUCAUGUGUUGUUCACAUCACUGUUCAUACAAUAUUCAUUGUUUAGGGUAUUAUUCACCAUAUUUUUGAACAUUGCAUUCAAUGUAGUAUAUGAUAUUGAUAAAAGCAUAAAUUGUUGUUUUUAAUACUAGCUUAAGUACAAGAGCAAGAGCAGUAGGACAUAUGACCUCUUCUUCUUCAAUAGUAUAAUGAUGCACAACAAAUUGAUUGAAGUUUGCAAGUUUUUUCUAUCCUUUUUUAAUGUAAACUAGUAGCAUAUAACUAUAAGUUAAUUAAAUAUUAUUAAAAUAUUAUUUAUUAAUUUAGACAAAUUAAGAAAAUUUGUAGACAUCAAUUAGAAAAUCUAAUAGAGAUUUGAUAAUUUAUUUCAAUUUCUUUUCUUUUUUAUAAAAAAAUACAAAAAUAUAUAAAAUGAUAUAUUAAAAUGUAAUUUGUUAAUUUACACAUUAAAAAAUGAGCAGUGUAAAUUAAAAAAAAAACUUAUGUUAAUUGAAAUGAAAAUUUUUACACCCCUGACAUUGGAUCCGGGUAAAAAUGUAAAUGGAAGCGGGGCAAAGAGAGGAGAUGCAUUUAUGUCUUCAAAUUUAGUUUCUAUUUAAGUUCUCAAUUUUUGCUUUUCAUGAGUUUGUUCCCAUCUCUGAAAUGCAUUUGAGGGAACUUUAUUCUUCAUCCCGUCUCCAUAAAUUUUUUUAAUUAUAUAUGAUUCUAGUGAAUUUUAAUUAUAUAUGAUUUUAGUACAUUUUAAUUAUACUAAUAUUCUAAUUGGUAUGUGUGACGACAUCCUUGAAGAUUUUGAGCAAGAUCCGUCAUUACAUUGAAUCAGGAGAGUUCAAAUUAGACUAAAUUGUAUUUUUGACUAUUGAGAUUAAAUUUCCUUAUGAGAUGAGGUUGAUUCUCAGCCCCUGCAAAACCUAUGGCAUUCAUGUUUAAAGUGUGGCGUGCCUGCCUGACAUCACUUAUUUUGUCAUAGUUUUUGUCUCUUCUUCGUUAAGGAGUUAUUAAGCAAUUUAUUCCUUACUCUAAUGGUUUUCCUUUCGAGCUAUGUAAGGUUCGUCAUACAUAUCUCUGCUAAUGUCCCUCUUGAAUAAACCGCUCUAAUUUCCUCUUUAAGUGGUGACAAUCAUCUAUAUGUCGUCCUCCGAUCUUGUGGUAUUUGCACCACUUAUUAGGUUCACCAUCCAUUACUUCCCCCUUUGGGCUUCGGGGCUCGAGAAUGACUCUUAUGUGAUAUACCUCUUGAAGGAUUUGUUCUCUUCGUGUGUUUCAUCGUAUAUAAUUAUCUAAGAGUAUGUCCUUAAAGCCGUUUUGGAAGGCUCCAACAAAUAUUUUAUGGUUUGAAGUGACGACCUUUAUAGGAUCCUCGAUAAACCUCUUCAAGCAGUGGAAACGACCUUUAUGUUGUGAUAAGAGUACCGAAAUGAAAGAGAAUAAACUAAGAAGAUCCACCAUAAACCAUAAUAAAUUUGAUUCAUUGAAUACUAACAUGGUUAAUAUCAUUUUACCCCUGACACAUAAGCGACUUCUUGAUUACCCCUGUAAAAAAAAUUGUUGAAAAACCAACCUUGCCACUUGAAGAUUCUUGUGGGGGUCUAACUGAGAAAAAAGCGUAUGUGGCGCGCUGAUAGAGCUUUUUUUUAUUCCAGUUAAAUUGACAUAACUUUAUUAUUUUUAUUUAGAAUUUUUAUUGCCAUGUGUAAUUUUAUUUCCUUUUUAAAGUAAUUUAAUUUAAUAUUAUUCUAAAAUAUUGUGUGGAGCUGUGUGUUAAACCCACCCCAAAGGUUGGGAGGCAAAAUUAUUAUCAGUGGUAGAGCUCUCAAUCUAGGGAGAUAAGACAUAACUUUUAAGGCUCAAAAAGUAUAGGACAUCCAAAAUUUAAAAAAUAAAUGAGCCACAAAAUAUGUAGGUCUCUUAAAUUAAAUGCCCUUAAAAUUUAAGUAGGACCUCAACGCCCCAACAUUUUCAAAAUUUAACUUUUUUAGAAAAAAAAUGAUAUAUAUUUUAAAAUUGACUUCUUUUUAUUUUAAAAAAUAGAUUUAUUUUUUCUAACAACAAUUGAAUUUUUAAUUUUUGAAAAAAAAAUCAGCUUUCUUUACAAAAAAAAUGACUCUUUUUUUGAAAAAAUUUAUUUAGGAAAAAUCGAGUUUUGUUUUUUAUUUACAGAAAAUUUGAGUUUUUUUUUCGAAAAAAUUGAUGUUUUUUAUUUUUCGGAAAAAACAAUUUUUUUUAUUUUUCGGAAAAAACAAUUUUUUUAUUUUAGAAAAAAUUGAUUUUUUUUAAAAACAACUUUUUUAUUUCGAAAAAAAUCAAAAAAAUUCUAAAAAAUCAACUUUUUUUAUUUGUCGGAAAAAAUUAAAUUUUUUAUUUUCAGAAAAAAUCAAUUUUUUAUUUAAAACAAAAUACACUUUUUUUUUUCGAAAAAAUUAACUUUCUUUUUAAUUUUCGAUAAAAGUUGACUUUUUUUAUUUUUGAAAAAAAAUGACUUUUUUAUAUUUUAUAUUGUAUAUACUAUUUUUUUAUUUUUGAAAAAAAACUACUUAUAUUUUAUUUUUUUAAAACGAUAUUUUUUAAGAAAAAUCAUUUUUUUUAUUUUGGAAUAAAUAGGCGUUUUUUCAUAUUCCAAAAAAAAAUCAACUGCUUUUUUAAAAAAAUAAUUUUUUUUGUUUUAGGAAAAACAUUAACUUUAUUAUUUAGUAAAAGUUUUGUUUUUUCUAAAUAUUUCUUUUAUUUUUCAGAAAAAAAAAUAUUUUUUAAAAUUAAUUAUCUAAUUAAAAAAAUAUAUUAUUUAAAAAUAACUAAAAAAAUUUAUUUCAAACCAAUUAUACUUUGAGCCUCUAGAAGGCAUAAAAACCAAAAAUAUGUGGUGGCUUGGGGGCAAAAAUAUUUAUUUAAUAGGGAGUCUUAAAAAAUGAUGCUAAAUAUGAGGCCUAAUUAUAGAAUCUUUUUAUACCAUUGGACACUAUACGUUUUUGCAUGUAUAUAGCUACACCAAUCAUCUGGGUUUGAAAUUUGGUCAUGGCAAAAAAUUUUUUUUUUUUUAAUUUUUACAUCUUUAAUAAUUUAAUAAUUGAAAAAUAAAAUAAUGUAAAUUUUAAAAUAAUAAUAAGUAAUAAAUAAAAAAUCCAUGUUAGAUAAAAAAAAUACCAAAGAACAUGAUACAUAGGCAAUUGGCUUCAAAGGCUCAAAAUAACAUGAUUUUAUAGGGUAAGGUUGUUUUUUUUUUAAAAUGCACAUGAAUAAAUCGAAAGUCAAAAUUUUUACUCAAAUAACCCAUUUUUCAAAAAAAAAACCAAAAUAAACUACUUUUUAGAUUAAUUUUCAAACUACCUCACUUUGAAGAGGUGGCGACAGAUGAAUUGGCGCAUACUCUCUAAGUUAAAGAGGUGGCGUCAAUUGGAUUGGUUUAUGCACAUGGUGCUGCCAAUCCAAUUGACGCUCAUAUGUAAAAAAGGAGAGGAGACGUAUUGGUCUGGCGCCUCUGUGUAUUGCGUGUUUUUUUUUGUAUAAAUAGAGGUGUUGUACGAUUCAUUUUUCCACAUCUCUUUUCAUUAUAUUGCAAACAUGGUCCGUCUUCGUCGCUGUUAUGGAAAAGUGAUUUAUUCGAGAGACAAAUCUCCGAUGGAGAUGCUCUUUGAGAACAUUUGUCGUUUCGAGCAACUACGGAGCGAGUUGGUUCGUUGGUUAGACGGAAACAUACCUGAAGGCGAAAAAAUUAGAAGUAUUAAGAGACUCGAUGACUUACGUGGAAGGAUGAACCAAAUUAUACAAGUUUGAUUGUUGUAAUCAGUUAGAAAUGUUGUUUUUAAAUAUUGUGGUUGUCGCGCAAAAAGUCAAUUGUUGAUCAAAAGUCAAUUAUUGUAUAAAAUGUCAAUUUUGUAGCCUUUGUACAUGUAUGGACUUUGAAUGUGAUUGUAUGAAAUGAUAUUUGAUAUUUGAUAUUUGAAUGCAUUGACUGUUUGAAAUGAAUUGUAUGGAUAUGAAAGAUAUUGAAAUGAAUGAACAUGAUAACAUGAAUCAAUGGAUACAAAAUUUGAAUGAAUCAAGGCCUAAGGACCAAAAUGGAUAAUGAUUAGGACCUAUCCAAUGAUUCAUUGACCAAACACCAAUUAAAAUGGCAUGGAAUAGACUAAGUGAUGAACUUGAUGAAUAUUUAAUCAUGGAUCAAUAGACAUGACCAUAACUUGGAUGACCAAUGCCAAGCAUGAAACAAAAACUCUAGCAAGGUCCAAGAUGUACAAUGAAUUGGGUCAUAAUCAAAGAUUGAUAGACCAAACAAUAAUGGCAAUGCAAAUGGCAUAAUGACAUUGGCCAGAUGAAAUAGGUUAGGCAUGGACUAGGCAUGAGGAUAUGAUUAGAGGAUAUGAUUAGAUGCAAUGCUAGGGAUGAAUUGAAUCAAGUGGAAGUUGUGAUGUUGUGAAAAUGGGCUUGAACCAAUGAACAUAGACAAGCAAAAGAUGAACAUGUAAGGCCAUGAAGUGAAUGCUAAACCGACCAAAGAAACCUCCAUAAUAGACCAUGAACAAUUGGGCCUUGAAUAGAUCUUGAUCAGACAAGUGAAGCAUACACAAUGGAUGAUACAACAACCAUAUGACUAUCAAACACCACAACAAUCAUUUCAACAUUUCCUCGACGCAUCAUUCCCGUCAAUGUCUUCCUUCAAUCCUCAUGGUCACCCUCCAAUAACUCAAACACAACCCAACUACUAUAGCAUGGGUCACGAACUCAGCUAUGGCGGUAGCGCUUCAUUGUAGGUGGUGGUGAUGUUGUUGGACCCUCAAAUCCUCAAACACCUGGGGUGAAUCAUCAACGUGGGUUAGGGUCACGCGUUUGAGUAGCUAGGGGAUGUGGUACCGGAGGUCGGUUAGGUCAUCCCGAUCAACAUUAGUUUUAUGGUCUUCGUAUGUAAAUGCAUAUUAAUAUUAAUAUCAAUUGGUUGGAUUUCGACUUUUAUAAAAAAUAUACAUUAUUUUUCAAAACAAAAUACACAACACACAUAGGUGUCAGAUCAAUGACGCCUCCUUUAAAACCUAGCACACAGACGUCAAUUGGAUUGGCAGCACUAAGUGCAUAAGUCAGUCCAAUUGGCGCCACCUCUUUAACUUAAAGAGCAUGCGCUAAUUCAUUUGACGUCACAUCUUCAAAGUGAGGUAAUUUGUGAAUUAAUCUGAAAAAAUGGAUUUUUUUGAAUUUUUUUUUAAAAUAGAUUAGUUGAGUAAAAAAAACUCGAAAAUCAUGAUAUUAACCCAUAAUAAUACAAUAAUCAGUGGAUAUCAUUGUUUAAGACUUUUAACACGUCUGGGACUUGUUCACUUAACAUACACUAGAAGGGCAUAGACUUCCAAGGUUGACUGACUUCGCCACUUGCAUGUCUUUUAUAUGUGCACUAACUUCAUUACAAGGUUAGUUUCCACCGUACAUAUUUGUACUUACAACUACAGGGAACAAUUCAACCAACGGUUUAGAAAAGCAUCCAAUGGAUUUUUGGUUUGACCAAUGAAUGAACAAAUACACUAAUUAAACAACACAUAUGUGUACUUACUAGGAACAAUUUAACCAACGGUUUAGAAAAGCAUCCAAUGCAAUAUCUAUUUGACCGAUGAAAAAACUAGACACAGAGAAGAACACAUGGUUUCAAUACCAUGUUAGUGGUUAAGGAAUAUAUGGAUGAAAGUCACCAUAACUUUUAAUAAAUUUUCACCACAUGAUCAAUUCAAUGGCUUCAUAUUAGUUUACUAUUUUUAUUUUAUUUUUUAAAAAAUUAAUUAAUUAAAUAUAUUUUUGAUUAAAUAAAAUCAAUUUUACUUAGACUCGUCACGAUUGCAAUCCACCCACCACCAUCCAGUCUUCUUGCCAUCACACUGGAUGUUGGUGCCGGACUGAACCGCUUCAGUGAAGUUCACCACCCAUCAAUUUUUUCUUCUUUUAUAUUCAUUGUGAGUUUGAAGUCUUAGAAUGAUUUAUAUGUGUGGUGUUUGGUUGAUUGACAAUGUUCUUCUUUUCAUUUAGAAUCUUGUGGUUGAUAUAAUAUAAAUGGUGUUUGGUUCAUUUUGACAUUGUGUUUUUACAAAAUCAAACCUAAUUUUUUUUUAUUUUUAACAUGUAUUUGAAAUAUGUUAGAGGUUCUUUAAUGUUUGGGCUCUUUAAUUUUUUUCAACUUAAUUGUCAAUAUUACUUUAAACAUCCAUAUCUCAUGCUUACUAAUAUUAAUUUUUUAAAAACUAUUUUUCAAAUUGUUUUAUUUAGAUAAUGACUUCUUUAAAUGAUGAUUGAAUGCCAAAAAUUGGUAUGGGAUUUGACAAUAUAGAACAAGCAAGUCAACUUUGACUUGCUUAUAGUGCACAUGUCAGUUUUGGAGUUAGAAAACGUUAUGCAAACAAGAAUAAAGACGACAUGAUAUCAUCAUGCAGGUUUGUUUGUUUUAGGAAGGAGUACGAAAGAGAAAGAAUAUAUAUGCUUUUGUUAGCACUCACCGAGCUGAGACUAGAACUGAUUGCAAAGUUAGAAUUUCACUUGUAUGUAAUAAUGAAAAAUUGGUCAUCCAUGAAUUUGUAGAGGAACAUAAUCAUUCUCUAUAAUCUCUUGAGACAACACACAUGCUUGAAAGUCAUAGAAAAAUAACAGAAGUACAAUCGUAUGAGAUUGAUUUGACUGAUGACUCCGGAUUAAGGCAGAAGUCAACAUUUCAACUUAUGAGCACGCAUGCAGGGCAUAGAGCUAAUAUAGGAUUUACACGAGUGGAUGUUAAAAAUUACAUCAAUGCAAGAAGACAAAGAAGUAUGGAGUAUGGUGAGGCUGGAUGUCUUUCACAGUAUUUCCAACGACAAUUAUUAGAGAAUCUGUCUUGCUUUCAUGCAUAUCAAAUGGAUAUAGAAGAACAAAUUACUAACGCGUUUUGGUGUGAUGCGAAUAUGAUUUUUUAUUACAGGUAUUUGGUGAUGUUGUGUCUUUGAACACUACAUAUUGUACUAAUCAUGCGAAUAGAUCACUUGCUCUAUUUUGUGGUUUCAAUCACUAUAGGGGUUCGAUAACUUUUGGUGCAGUCUUAUUGUAUGACUAGACAAUUGAGUCAUUUAAGUGGUUGUUUAAUACAUUUUUGCAAGCACAUAACAACAAGAAGCCAAAGACUAUAUUCACUGAUCAAGAUCAAGCAAUGGCCAAAGGACUUGCUGAAGUGAUGCCUGAGACUCACCAUGGCUUAUGCACUUGGCACUUAUUGCAAAAUGGAAUUAAACACCUUGGAAACCCGAUAAAGGGAGGAAGUUGUUUUUUAAGAUAUUUUAAAAAAUGCAUGUAUGAUAUUGACAUUGAAGCAGAUUUUGAAACAACUUGGACCAACUUGAUUAACGACUAUAAUGUUCAUGAAAAUAAUUGGAUCAAAUCAGUUUAUGCUAUAAAAAAGAAAGGGGUUUCAUGUUAUAUGAAGGAAACAUUAACACUUGGCAUGAGAAGUACUCAAAUCAGUGAAAGUUUGAAUGCUCACUUUAAAUCUUGUAUGAAAUCGAAUAUGGAUAUCCUACAAUUCUUUAAACAUUUUGAACGAGUUGUUGAAGAGAGGAAAUGAAUUGAGGUGUGAGUAUAGGUCCUCACAUAAGCUUACAAGGUUAAUAUAUGAGAUGUCACCAAUUCUAAUAAAAAUGGGAAAAGUAUAUACAUACACUGUAUUUGAGUUGUUUCAAAAGGAGUUUAGGCAAUUUUCAGCUUUAUCGAUAUCAGAGAGAAAUGAGUCUCACACUUUAUGUGAAUAUGUUAUUUCUAUGGAGAACCAAGAAAGAUAUUGGAGAGUGUCAUAUGAUCAUGCUUCAAUUUCCAUUACUUGUAAUUGUAGAAAAUUUGAGACAAUUGACAUACUUUGUUCACAUGCAUUGAAAGUGCUUGAAGUCAUGGUUUGAAAUUGCGGACCACAUCACUUGAUGCGGCCGCAAUAUUGCGGUUGCAACCUGCACAACAUCGGCAACAGACCGCAAUUGCGGUGUGAAUGGAAAUCACACGCAAAAACUGCAUCACUGCCGUAACUUUGCCGCAACAUAACGGUAAUUACCGCAUCAGAACUGUGUUUCUACCGCAAUAGACUGCAACACAUGAUUCUCAUACACAAUUCAAUUUUGAUUUAAAAACAAAACUAAAGAAUCAGAAUCUUUUAUGCAGGAAAUGAAUCUAAAAAGCAGGAAUAUUACCUUUAUGUCAAAUUUUCUUCUGCAUCAAGAUUCUAAAUACAAAAACUAAUUACUUUAUGUCAUUCUAUCUGCUCCAUUAAGAUUCCAAAUGCAAGAAGAAAUUUUUUUUUAUUGUAUUUGCUUCAAUAAUAUUACAUUCACUAAUUCAUACCUUCAAGACUUCAUGUUCAUCUUCUUCUCUCUUGGUUGCAUUUUGUGAAGCAGAACUGAAAAAACUCAUAUUUACUUCUCCAAUUUCAUCCAUUUUAAGGUCUGAACUUUGAAUUCUACUCCACUCUCUCACUUCACUCAUAUUCUUUGCAGUAGUUUGUUGUUGUAAUAGAUUUAUGGUAGAUUUCCUUUUAGUAUAUUCUUCACUCAAUUUCAUCCAUUGUAGUAGAUAUGUGGUGACUGGUUUUUUUCAUUUCUGUUACAAGAGUGUGAGACUGUGAGAGAGAAAUAGAAAAAAAUUACUUUAUCAUUGUUGUAUUGUAUGGGACACGGCAAAGUAUUGGUGGAGUGAGAGAGUGGGGUAGUAAACAUUAUCAUUGUGUUAUUUAUUUUAUUUUAUAAACUCUAUCACUUGUACUUUUUAUUUAUUAUUUAAAAUUUUAGCUAAACUUUUAGUGAAUGGGUGGGAGGGAGUUUAGAGAGGGAAACUAGAGAGAAUAAAUUUUAGUGAAUAAAUGAGAAGGAAUUUAUAGAGGGAAUAAAUUUUAUUAGUUAAAUUUUUAAAUUGUAUUAGUGAAUAAAUGGAAGAGAAUUUAUAAAGGGAAUAAAUUUUUUGUGAAUGAAUUUGAAUAAUUUUAAUUUUUUUAAGAAUUUAUAAUCUUGUGUCUUUUAGUUAAUUAUGUAACCAUUAAAAAAAGUUAAUUAUUAAAUUUUAUUCAUCCAAUACUUAAAAUAAAUAUUUUAUUUUUUUGACAAACACUUUUUGUUUAUUUAAAUUAAUUAACUAAAUUUUAAAGAGAAUAUUUUAUUUUAUUUAAAUUUUAUAUUUAUAACUAAUUAUUUAUAUAUCCAAUUAAUAGGUAUUAUUGAAUAAUGCCUCCGCGAGAACAAUUUCCUACAAAAGGUUUGGAUGGUGCUCCAAAUGAGGAUAUUGGAUGGUAUUUUAGAACAUCAAAACCCGAAAAUCGCAAUAAUGUUUGUUGCAAACUUUGUAAUGUAGUAAUAAAAGAUGGCAUUACAAGACUCAAGCAACAUAUAACACACAUGAAAGGACAAGUUGCGGCUUGUGGUAGAGUAACAACUAUGGUUAAAGAAAAUAUGAUACAACUUUUACUUAAUUCAAAAGCGAAAAGAAAUGAUUCUAAGAGAAGAAAAGAAGAAUUUGAAGAAUAUUUAAGAGGAGAUGAUGAAGAUGCAGACGAAGAUGUGAAUACUCUUAUUGAUGAUCAAUUGAAAUAUGCAACACAAGAAAGCCUUAGAUCACACAAAGAAUGGGAAAAUAUGCAGCAGUUCAUACGGGAAACAAGAGCUUCUGAAAAUUCAUAUGAACAUGGUGGAAGCUCUCGUGUCAGUGUUAGUGAGGCUGAAAGGCUGAAAGGCUAAAAGACAUCUCUUUUUCUUUGUGAUCUACUAAUAUUGAUCUUGUUAGGAGGCAAAGUAUGAAGCAACCAAGAGCUGGCAAAUGAUUUUUGAAGACUUGGAGAAAAAGACUUGGAGAGGUUGUAAGUAAAUUUAUAAUUUACGAGUGUUUGCCUAUGAAUUUAUCUAACUCUCCUUGGUUGCAUAAUUUGAUUUAUACUACUUCUGAAGUGGGAAAAGCCAAAUGCCCAACUCCUUAUGAAAUCUCAAAUGUUUACUUAAAAGCUGAAUAUAAGGAAAUGUUAGAGUGGAUAAAUAGUAUGAAAAUAACUUGGCAAGAAAGACAAACAACAAUAAUGUGUGAUGGUUGGACAGACAGUAUCAACCAUACUCAUAUUAUGAAUUUCUUGGUAUAUUGUCAUAAAGGUACUGUAUUUUGGAAAUUUGUUGAUGCUUCUGAUGUUGAUAGUAGAAACACUGACUACUACUUUCAAUUAUUGGAUAAAGUUAUGGAAGAAGUGGGUGAAGAGUAUGUAGUUCAAGUGGUAACAGACAAUGAAGUCACAUUAAAAGCAGUUGGUCAAAAGCUUAUGGAGAAGAGGCCACAUUUAUACUUGUCUUCUUGUGCAACUCAUUGUUUAGAUCUUUGUUUGGAGGAUAUAGGAAAAAAUAAAAGCAUACAUAAUUUAUUAAGUGAAGCAAAAAUGGUGACAACCUUCAUCUAUAACCACACAUAUAUUGUGAGUCUCAUGAAAAAAUAUACAGGUGGUAGAGAUAUUGUUCGUCCUGGUGUUACCCUUUGUGAGUCUCAUGAAAAAAUAUACAGGUGGUAGAGAUAUUGUUCGUCCUGGUGUUACCCGAUUUACAACACAAUUUCUACAACUUCAAGCAAUUGUGAGACAAAAGGAAGGUCUUGAAAACAUGUUCAAUUCCGAAGAAUUUACAAAAACAAAAUAUGGUAAAGAAAAGAAAGGACCGGGAUAUGAAGCAAGGAAAAUUGUUAUGAGUAGGGACUUUUGGAGUAAGGCUAAUGAUAUAAUGAAAGUAUUUGAGAAAAUUGUAAAAGUUUUUAGACUAGUUGAUGGUCAUGAGAAACCAACAAUGAGUUUCAUAUAUGAAGCCAUUGAUCGGGAAAAACAAGCAAUUCAACAAAAUUCUCGUUAUCAUUCCAAAUAUAAUGAUAUCAUUGAGAAGCGUUGGAAAUUCAUGCAUUCUGAUCUUCAUUCUGCUGGUAUGUGGAUAUAUUCUAUAAUUUUAAUUUUGUCAUGAAAUUUAAAUUUAUAAAUCAUAUCCGUAAUAACGGAUUUUCACUUCAAGGUUAUUUUCUUAAUCCAUAAUUUCAAUAUGGAAUUGAACAUGGAAAAGUUGUAAAGAAACAUUUAAUGGAACAACUAAUGUAAUCAUGAAGAUAGAAAGAAACAUGGAUGAUCAAAUCAAAGCUUUAAACCAAGUAAGUAAUGGAUAUUAUAUUUUCAUUUGAUAAAUUAUUUAUUAAGAAAUUUGUUUAUGUACUUAUAUGUUUUGUUAUAUUACCUAGUUAACACUUUUUAGAGAAAAGAGUGAAACUUUUGGUACACCUCUAGCUCAAAAAUCUUGGUUUAAAAUAGAUGCAUGUAAAAUAAUUUUUUUUUUAUAAUUUUUUAUAAAUAUAAUUUAUUUUUUUAAUAUAAUAAAUAAUGUUCUUUUUUUCUUCUUUGAAAAGCCCAAUGGUGGGAAUACCAUGGUUCGUGUGCUCCUGAACUUCAACGUUUGGCUAUGAAAGUUGUUAGUCAAACAACCUCUGCCACAAACUGUGAGAGAAAUUGGAGUACAUUUAGCUAUAUCCCCGUAUUACAAUAUGAAGUUGAGAAUGAGGGAUAAAUUAAGGAAGAUUCAGGAAAAGAUAGAAGCAAAUUUUGAUCCGAUAAAUCUUGACUAUAUAUUUCAAGAAGAUUCGUUAUCUCAUUGGAUAAAAGAGAGGGAAAAUCCAUUAUUGAAUGGAGUUCAAAAUACAUAAUAGUUGCCGAUUGUUGAUACAGAUGAUGAAAAUGUUGAUGAUAAUAGUGAAACUAAUGAAAGUGGUGGUGGUUUAAGUCCACCAAGCAGUAAUAGUGGUGAUGGGGGUGGUAAUGAAGUGGAUAAUGGACGUGAAGGUGGUGAUGAUGAAGGAGAAGAUGAUGAACUUGAUCCAUAUCAUGAAACACCACCAAAUUAUAGGCGUUAUAGGAACUUGACUGAUAUGGAUCGUUCUGACAACUUGUUAAUUGAGACAAGAGGAAAUGUGUCACAAUCUGGAAGAAAGAGGAAAAGGAAACAAAAUGUUCCACUUGAAGAUUCUUCCUCUUCUAGUAUUGCUCCUAGUUUUAGUGAUUUUGGGAUUGAUGAUUCAUCACAAAGUAGUCAACAAUCUUAUCCACCUGUUUAUCAAUAUUCAUAUUUCAACUCUUAUAACCAAUAUCCUAGUGAUCAAGCUCAUCCGUACUACCAACAAUCAACGAAUUAUCACAAUCCUUAUCAUCAACAAUCAAGUGGUGAUUUUUUUUUGUUAUGUCUUUGCACAAGGAGCUACACAAGAUGAUAGUCAGAGUGAAAAUAAAAGUUAUGCUCCUUCACGUCAUUCCACUAUGUGGUAGAAAGAGACAUGUAAGUUAUAUUUUAAAACAUUUGAACUUAUAUUUAGUUAACUCUAUGUGUGAAAAGUCUUAAUAUUAUAUGCAAUUUUAAGAUACUAAUUAGGAGUUUCAUCAUUUUUUUUUUUGCAGUGGACAUCUUUAUGUGACAAAAUGAUGUUGUUUUUCACCAUCAAGAUUGCAAUAUAUGACAUUAAUAUAUUUUUGUCUAUAGUCCUUUUUAUUUUAAAUAAAUUGUAACUUAUAUUAUGUGCUUAUGUUUGAUUAAACUUACAAUAUUAUUUAUGAUAAUGUUUGUUUCAUUAGAAUUCAACUUAAAUUAUACAUAAAUUUGAUACAAUAUUUUAAAAGUGAAUUAAAAUUAAUACACAAUAAUAAAUAGAAGAAACAUAAAUAAUUACAAUAAUUUUAUAAUUUCACGUUGCAAUGUGCAACGCAGUGACAACAUUGGCCGCAAUCGCAACCAUAUUUGCAGCCGCAACCAUAAUUUAAAACCAUGCUUGAAGCGAAUGAUGUUAAGUGCAUUCCUCAUGAGUAUAUUUUAAGGAUGUGGACAAGACAUGCUCGGUAAGGCAUCGUGCAAAAUUCUAGGGGAAAAGAGGUUGAAGUCGAUCCAAAAUUGUCUAGGAGAUGAAUGUUCAGACAUGUUGUUUCUAAAUUCAUAAAGGUGGCAACAUCAUGUGAAGAAGGGGACCUCAAGAUUGUUGAUGAUAAUGUGGAUCUCAUGCAUAGGAAAAUAAUUGAACGUCUGUCACAAGACAAAGAAAAUCAUAGCCAUGAUAACCCGACAUUUCCAAGUUCUAAUGUUAUUCUACCAAAGAGAUUCAAGAAACGUACUCUCUUAAAGGGGAAAUUACAAAAGCGACAUAAAAGUUGGGUAGAGAAGCAAUCUAUUGCAAAAAAAAAGAAGCUCCAACUAAAAGGUAAUCAUGUAGUCAAGCCUCUCAGGUAUACAAUUUGACAUGUAAAUCGUUUAUUUUAAUUUUACAUGUAUUAUGACAAUGCAUGAAAUAACUAUUAAUUUUAUAUGAUUAUUUUAGGAUAAAGAACUAACAAGUCAUAUGGCCGAGGAAGUAUCAUGUUCGACACCUCCAGCUUAUGAGCUCCGACAAACACAAGAUGUCCAAUUUAAUUUUACAACGCUUUUGAUGGUAAUAUAACUUUCAUUUGAAAAAAUAAAUAUCCUUAAAUUUAACUUAUCAUGAUGUUAAUUAGUGUUUUUUUAAAUUUAACUUAGUUAAUAGAUCAUUAAGUUGUAUUUUUUUUGUAUAUUAUGACACUGUUAUGAACUUUUAUUACACUGAUCGAAGUAUAUUUUGGUAUGUAUAAAAUCUAUAGAAAAUUGUUAUGACAAUACAUAAAAGUAGGGGUGGCAAAACGGGUCUGGUCCGUUGGGCAUGUCCGUUUUUCCCGCACUUUAGGCCUUCACCCUCUAAUUUGUUCGCCCCGCCCCGCCAUGUUUUUUUCGCGGACUUUUGAGGGAACACACAUUUAGAUAAGUUUUUGUGUUUUUAGGUUUCAGGCCCGCAUCCUCAACUAUGUUCGUCCUGCCCCAUAUUUUUGCAGGCUUUUGCGGGACGGGCCUAAAUGGGACGGGCAUGUUCAUUUUCCACCCCUACAUAAAAGUAUAUUUUGGUAUCUAUAAAAACUUAUAGGAAAUUGUUAUGACAAUGCAUGAAAUUAAUAUGUAAAAGAUUAUUGAAGUUGGAUAUGUAAAGAAUGUCAAUAUAUAAAGUAAAUUUUUAUUAUAGUGCAGGAAAUCUUAUGAGUAUGCUUCUCAUUGGUAUUAAUUGAAUGCUUUUUAUGAAAGUGAAAUUUUAUUACAGUGCAGGAAAUUACAUUUUGUGGGUUAAUGGGAAUACUACUUUCAUUCAUAUUGUUUUAUUUCUUGUUCAGGCGGUAUAUACUACCUUCAUUCAUAAUGCUUAUGUUUAAAUUGAUACUGGAAAUGACAUUUACUUGCAAUAAUUGCCUUAAAUUGUAAUACUCGUAGGAAAUUGUAAUGAAGCAAAUUAUCUUAUUUCAUUAUAUCCAAAAAUGUUACAAAAUGACAAUACAUGAAAUAUUAUAAAUGACAGUGCAGAAAAUGUUACACAAUCACACUGAUAAAAAAUAAUGCUACAAGAGAUGUACAAUUCAUCAUGUCCUCUAACUAAAUUACACAUGUCCUAUUAUUCUAUAAUUCUAAUAAUCUAACUUUGCAGAGUUAUUUUGAUGUAUUUUUUGCAUUUAUUAUGAACAUCCUUGUAGAAAGUUGUUUUCUUAACCAAUGCUGAAAGUUGCUUUUAAUAUCCUUGCAGAGUUGUGAAGACAUGUGCUUAGAAGCUUUUUUAAAAACAAUAACACAUCAGAUAAUGUAAGUUCAAUAUUCACUUUUCACGUGCUCACCAGCUUCAUCAAAACAAUACAACAUAAAAAACAAAUUGUAUAAAAAACAACAACACAACACUAAUUUUAAAAAGGAGAACCAUUUAGAAGUCAAAAACAAAUAUUUAUACACAAUCCACUUAGCAGCAACAAAAUAACACAUAUAAAAAAAUGGCAUGAUCAGUGGACAAAUCUUGCAAUUAAGAAAUUAUCAUGAAUUUAGACCCACCAGCAUGGCAGCAACAACAUGCACGUUCGAAUGACCUUGAAAUUAACUUCAUUGUUGGUGGCGGCGAAAAGAAAGGGCGAUGACAACGACGAGUACGAGCAUGUUGGUGGUGAAGAUAAGAGACGGGACGGUGUCGGCGAACAUAAUGGUGGCGGCGAGAUGAAACCAUUCAAUGUUUCUAUUUUAUGGUGGCGACGACGAAAAGAAUGGAUCGGUCUUCCCCUUCCAUGUUUCCAUUUGACCCGAAACAAAACAAAACAAAAUAUAUGUUUUUAUACGAAAAAGAAAAAACCGUGUGGCUUUUAUGUGAAACGUUAGAUUGAUCGAAUGGUGGAUGUUGGAUGAAAGUUACGGUAACUUUCCCGGACUAAAGUCAAUGAAUAUAUGCUUUUAAGACUUGUUACCAUUUAGUAAUGGAUAUAUAUAUACAUAUAUAUAUAUAUAUAUAUAUAUAUAAUAUCAUAUAUAUAUAUAUAAAAUUUAUAAUUUAUAUAUAUAUAAUAUAUAUAUAUAUAUAUAUGGAAUUUUCCAAUGCUUCUCAUCAACCAACCAACUAUCAUUUUCAAAAGCAUUACUAUCUUUGUCCAUGCUAACAAAAAUUAAUUUCUAGUUUGUAUCAAUUAAAAUAGAAAGAUGAGUAUAGAAAAUUUAGAUGGUGUUACCAGUAUCCACUUCCUUGAUCGACUCAACACAAACAAUGACGGUCUUCUCUCUUAUGAUGAGAUGUUGAAGGAGC